rnacentral:rRNA from 1 species
CGUGGGUAACCUGCCUUAUAGUGGGGGAUAGCCUUUCGAAAGGAAGAUUAAUACCGCAUAAGAUUGCAGUAUCGCAUGAUAUAGCAAUUAAAGGAGCAAUUCGCUAUAAGAUGGACCCGCGUCGCAUUAGCUAGUUGGUGAGGUAAUGGCUCACCAAGGCGACGAUGCGUAGCCGACCUGAGAGGGUGAUCGGCCACAUUGGGACUGAGACACGGCCCAGACUCCUACGGGAGGCAGCAUG